rnacentral:rRNA from 1 species
CCUACGGGAGGCAGCAGUGGGGGAUAUUGCACAAUGGGGGAAACCCUGAUGCAGCGACGCCGCGUGGGUGAAGAAGCGCCUCGGCGCGUAAAGCCCUGUCAGCAGGGAAGAAAAUGACGGUACCUGAAGAAGAAGCCCCGGCUAACUACGUGCCAGCAGCCGCGGUAAUACGUAGGGGGCAAGCGUUAUCCGGAUUUACUGGGUGGAAAGGGGGCGCAGACGGCGAUGCAAGCCAGGAGUGAACGCCCGGGGCCCAACCCCGGGACUGCUCUUGGAACUGCGUGGCUGGAGUGCAGGAGGGGCAGGCGGAAUUCCUGGUGUAGCGGUGAAAUGCGUAGAGAUCAGGAGGAACACUGGUGGCGAAGGCGGCCUGCUGGACUGCAACUGACGUUGAGGCCCGAAAGCGUGGGGAGCAAACAGGAUUAGAUACCCCAGUAGUC